GAUGAAGAACGCAGCGAAAUGCGAUAAGUAAUGCGAAUUGCAGAAUUCCAGUGAGUCAUCGAAUCUUUGAACGCACAUUGCGCCCUUUGGUAUUCCGAAGGGCACGCCUGUUCGAGCGUCAUUAUCACCCCUCAAGCCCUCGGCUUGGUGUUGGACGGUUUGGUGGAGGCCCCCUCGGGGGCUCCUGCCCCUCCCAAAGACAAUGACGGCGGCCUCGUUGGACCCCCGGUACACUGAGUUCUUCACGGGACACGUAUCGGACACAUGGGUUUACGGGACACGGUCUGCCUCCCCUCAGGGAGAAUCUUUCUAAGGUUGACCUCGGAUCAGGUAGGGAUACCCGCUGAACUUAAGCAUAUCAAUAAGCGGAGGA
rnacentral:misc_RNA from 1 species